AACAUUUCUUUUAGUUUUUGUUAAAAGUAAAGUCUGCCCACUGUAAUUAAUAAAGGGCCGCGGUAUUAUGACCGUGCAAAGGUAGCAUAAUCAUUAGUCUUUUAAUUGGGGAAUGGAAUGAAUGGCUUAAUGAUUUUUUUCUUUUAUUUAUGUUAGUUUAAAAUUUUGAUUUUAAGUGAAAAUACUUAAAUUUAUUAAUUAGACGAUAAGACCCUAUAGAAUUUUAUUUUUUAAUAGAUUUUCAUCUAUUUAAGAGUUUAGAUGGGGCAUUUUCUGAAUAAAAAUAACUUCUGUGAGUUUUUAAAAAGUAUCUUUUUUUUUUAGAUAAUAAAAAAAUUACCUUAGGGAUAACAGCGUAAUGGUUUUUGAGAGUUCAUAUCGACAAAAUAGUUUGCGACCUCGAUGUUGAAUUAAAAUACCUUUAUAAAGCAGCUUUUAUAUAAGGUGGUCUGUUCGACUAUAAAAUUUUUACAUGAUUUGAGU
rnacentral:rRNA from 1 species